GGCUCAGGAUGAACGCUGGCGGCGUGCUAACACAUGCAAGUCGAACGAAGCGCCUUUUGAGAUUCUUCGGAUGAUCGAUUGGUGACUGAGUGGCGGACGGGUGAGUAACGCGUGGGUAACUGCCCUGUACAGGGGGAUAACAGCUGGAAACGGCUGCUAAUACCGCAUAAGCGCACGAGGAGACAUCUCCUUGUGUGAAAAACUCCGGUGGUACAGGAUGGGCCCGCGUCUGAUUAGCUGGUUGGCAGGGUAACGGCCUACCAAGGCAACGAUCAGUAGCCGGUCUGAGAGGAUGAACGGCCACAUUGGAACUGAGACACGGUCCAAACUCCUACGGGAGGCAGCAGUGGGGAAUAUUGCACAAUGGGGGAAACCCUGAUGCAGCAACGCCGCGUGAGUGAAGAAGUAUUUCGGUAUGUAAAGCUCUAUCAGCAGGGAAGAUAAUGACGGUACCUGACUAAGAAGCUCCGGCUAAAUACGUGCCAGCAGCCGCGGUAAUACGUAUGGAGCAAGCGUUAUCCGGAUUUACUGGGUGUAAAGGGUGCGUAGGUGGCAGUGCAAGUCAGAUGUGAAAGGCCGGGGCUCAACCCCGGAGCUGCAUUUGAAACUGCAUAGCUAGAGUACAGGAGAGGCAGGCGGAAUUCCUAGUGUAGCGGUGAAAUGCGUAGAUAUUAGGAGGAACACCAGUGGCGAAGGCGGCCUGCUGGACUGUUACUGACACUGAGGCACGAAAGCGUGGGAAGCAAACAGGAUUAGAUACCCUGGUAGUCCACGCCGUAAACGAUGAAUACUAGGUGUCGGGGCCGUAUAGGCUUCGGUGUCGCCGCUAACGCAGUAAGUAUUCCACCUGGGGAGUACGUUCGCAAGAAUGAAACUCAAAGGAAUU
rnacentral:rRNA from 1 species